rnacentral:rRNA from 1 species
AUUGAACGCUGGCGGAAUGCUUUACACAUGCAAGGUCGAACGGUAGAGGGGGCAACCCCUUGAGAGUGGCGAACGGGUGAGUAAUAUAUCGGAACGUGCCCAGUCGUGGGGAUAACGUAGCGAAAGUUACGCUAAUACCGCAUACGAUCUAAGGAUGAAAGCGGGGGAUCGCAAGACCUCGCGCGAUUGGAGCGGCCGAUAUCAGAUUAGGUAGUUGGUGAGGUAAAGGCUCACCAAGCCAACGAUCUGUAGCUGGUCUGAGAGGACGACCAGCCACACUGGGACUGAGACACGGCCCAGGACUCCUACGGGAGGCAGCA